GAUGAACGCUGGCGGCGUGCCUAAUACAUGCAAGUCGAGCGAACGGACGAGAAGCUUGCUUUUCUGAUGUUAGCGGCGGACGGGUGAGUAACACGUGGAUAACCUACCUAUAAGACUGGGAUAACUUCGGGAAACCGGAGCUAAUACCGGAUAAUAUUUUGAACCGCAUGGUUCAAAAGUGAAAGACGGUCUUGCUGUCACUUAUAGAUGGAUCCGCGCUGCAUUAGCUAGUUGGUAAGGUAACGGCUUACCAAGGCAACGAUGCAUAGCCGACAUGAGAGGGUGAUCGGCCACACUGGAACUGAGACACGGUCCAGACUCCUACGGGAGGCAGCAGUAGGGAAUCUUCCGCAAUGGGCGAAAGCCUGACGGAGCAACGCCGCGUGAGUGAUGAAGGUCUUCGGAUCGUAAAACUCUGUUAUUAGGGAAGAACAUAUGUGUAAGUAACUGUGCACAUCUUGACGGUACCUAAUCAGAAAGCCACGGCUAACUACGUG
rnacentral:rRNA from 1 species